UAUUGCAGUGUCAAUCUCAAUCAAACUAUGAAUUCUUUCUCCAAUAUCCUCGGAAGCAAGUCUUCAUGUGAUUAACUAUUGCAUUUCUUUGCUAACAGAUUAUUACCUGCUCACUGAUUUUCAGUAAAAUAGUCCUUUUUAUAUUAAUUUUUAUAUUGUUUUAUGCCUAUAUUUUGUAUGCUCCUGUACUACCUGUUAUUGUUUUUCUGUUCAGAUUCCUCUAAGCUCUGUCACUUCGAUUAUUGAUGGCUUGAAGAAACUAUAUAUUGAAAAAUUAAAGCCAUUGGAAGUUACCUAUCAAUUUAAUGAUUUUGCUUCUCCUUUGCUGGGGCUCAUAUAGGACCGGAGCCCACAACCGAUAGAUUUAUUGUUGUCAUGGCUUAUGUGAACUACCUGACUUUGGAGGCUUUCCA